UUCUAGACACGGGUUCAAUUCCUGGCCUGGGAACUCAGAUAACAGAUGCCGCAGAGCAAGCAGGCCAGGGCACCAUAGCUACCGAGCCCGUGCGCUGCGACUAAGAUCCAGUGCAGCCAAUGCGUCCAUACAUCUUGAAAACAGCGCUCAGAUAUGCAUUCACAGCUGUGUGUUUAGAUCUGGCUCUAUGAAGUAUGCUUUUUCUGUUCUCUUUACAGUAAAGCCCUUCACCCAUUCUUAGAAUUCUAAAAAGAAAUGAAACGAGAAUACUAAAGAAAAUAAUAAAACUAAAAGAAUGCAUCAAAUUUUUAACAGGUCAAAUCAAAAUUUCUAAUUUCUUAUAUUGCAUUUAAAAAACUGAUAUUUAACAGUUAAUAAAGCAAACGAUUAGUUGCUAUACAUAACAGUGAAGUAAAUCUUACUACAAUGGCUUAAAGAGAAUUUUUUAAAAGACUAUUUAGGAACAUUAUUACCUUAAGAACAUUACCUAUCCACUUUUAAAUGCAGGUUUCUCAAGAACAUGAGAGAAGACAUGAUGAAUUUUCACUAUAUAAUGAGAUGAGUAAAUAUAUAAUGAGAUGAGUAAAUAUUAUAAAUAAAUUUGUCAUAUAAUUGAUAAAGUUAAGAACACUAUUAACAGGAGAAGAAAAUCACAUUACACAUAUUUUGAGCAUUCCAAACAAAUACAACUGUCAAAUAUAUCGUGAAAAACUCCCUAAUAAAUAUACAACUGCAUUUUAAGAAAAAGAAUCAGUACAUGUAGGCUUUAAAGAGCAGGCUACUUACAGUGCUAAAAAUAUGCCUUAUAUAUAUUUCUCAUUAUCAAAUCUAUUACUGAGGAACAGGUGAACUCUAGUACAAAAAUAUUUUUUUAAAAAUCAUAAAACAACACAAUUAUUUUCCUUAAGGUCUCAGAAAAAAAAAAGAGAUGUGUGUCAAUAAUAUUUGACAUAUAGGUUACAUUUUGUAUAGUAGGAAUAUACAUAAAGAAACUCUUACCAGAAUUUUAGGACUAAAAUUAAACACAGGAUUCAAGUUCUGUCUGAAAGAAUACUCAUAAUUUAAUAAAUCUGUUACCACACAAGCACUGUAACAAAAAUCAAACAGCAAACCCUGGUAGAAGGACACUGCUAACACAAUCAACACUGGUGAAAGAAGGACGAAUAUGAAUUCCACUAAGCUGCGGUAACAUUUCAGUCUCUGAAGGGGUAUUUAAAAAAAAAAAGGAGAUGGGAUAAAAUUUAAAAAUCCUUUCAAUCAUAUCCUGUAAAAAGCUAUCAGAUUAAUUUUCAAUCUGCUUCUCACUUAUCAGAUUUAAGUAACAGAGAUGAAAAGAGGUGUUUUUUAAAACUGAAUUAAAAAUAAGCUUUUUUUGACUCUUUACCUUGUUAUUUAAUUGAAUCUGACUCUCUCUGAAUUGAUAAUUACUUACACAGCUGCUCCACUGCAAGCAUGGCACAGACAGUUCGUGAGACCCUCUAAGUUACUAUAAAACAACAAUCAGUCUCUGUAAAUACAACCUUUGCCCAUUGUAAACUACUGCCAUAUAUUUUUGUUAUAAUUUAAAUAACAUGAUGUAUUUUCAUCUAUGGCUAUUUUAGUCACCAUAUCCUAAAUAGUCAUCAGGGCAAAAAAGAAAAAAAGAUAAUAUUAUAGCUUCAAGAGAUGCCAUGACAUAAAAGGAACAAGGCUUAAUUAAGAAAGGGGCCAAUCUGAUUACCAUCUCAGCUUCACCAUGGACCACUCGGAUUAACACAGUUAAGGCACACUUUCAAGUCUUAUUUCUUUUUCAAAAAUACAAAACACACACCUACUGUGUAAACCACAGUCCAUAAUGCCUGACAGAAAAUUUCUGCUGCUAACAUCUAGGUGGAAGAAUAACACGGUGGUUUAGAAAUGUUAACUACUUUGUCAAAUCCCAACUCUACCACUUAUUUAGCGGCAUGACCGUGGAUCAGUUAUUUAAUCUAAGUCUCAGUUUAAUUUUAAAUAUAAACUAAAACUAUUAAUGAGUUUUACAAGCUAUUACUAUAAAGCACUGAGUAGAAUACUUGGCCCACAAUAAACACAAGAGAUGUUUGCUAUUAUUAUACAAUCUUAAUUAAGCAUUGAAGGCAUUAAAAUAAUGCAUUGAUAUUAGCUAUCCUCUCAUAUACUCUGUAUUGGCAAAAGGUAAUUUUCUACAUUCUCAGGGACCAAGGUACAAUUAAUCACACUCUUCCAACUAUUUUUUUCCAUAUUUUGUAUGACAACUAAUCAAAUCACUUCUUAAGACAGAAGUUAAUGUAAUGUAACAUAACACAGGGGAGAAAUAUUAUUCUUUAAAGAGUAACAAACUAUCAUCCAGAAGAUAUUAAACAAUGACUUACUAUUGGAAGUGAAAAAAAAGAGUCCUAAGAUGAGCUCAGGGAGGACAGAAACCUCCCAUGGAGAAGAAGGGCAAGAGCUCGCUUGAUCUUGAUUUUCAGUAGGAAUAAAGACCCUGAAAGCAGAGCUUCACAUCCUUCUGACCUUUGGGGUUUUAAGCAGGAAGUGUCAGAAAAGUUAACACAGGGAUAACUGGCUUGCAGUGGCUAAGCAUUCACAGUAACGUCGCUUUUUGAUUCUUCUUUGUCAGCUCUCCCUAUCACUGAGAGGCAGGAUUCAUCAAGUGUUGGAUUGUUCACUCACUUACAUGGAACGUGAGUUGGGCUUAGACUGCUAUGAGAUAGGUAAAUUUUACUCUACUAAUGAUGUGCUGUUGCCAUAGUAACCCUGCUCCGUAGGAGAGGAACCACAGGUUCAGACAUUUGACGUACGCACUUGGCUGAAGAGCCAAUGGGGGAAGCCACCAUCUGUAGGAUUAUCAUCACUUCUAAGUCAGAAUCCGACCCCAGGUCAAUUGAUAUGGCUGCACCCUGGGAGCCUCAGCCAUCCUAAGCAAGCCGGUCUCCACACCCAGCAUCCCUCGGGGCAGAGUGUGCCACACUGCACGUCGGGACUGGGGUCUGGUGUGGACAGCCCUUCACCGUGGGACACACAGAAUGGCCAGAAAGCUGGCCAACCCCUGGCCCAUCAACACCAUGCAUUCAUGGGCAACUUGGUGCUAAACCACCUGUAGCUGACCUGCUUCUAGGUCAGGGUUUCAUACCUAGGACAGCAGCUCCCUCAUUGUGACCUAUUUAAAGUCAGCCCUUGACACAAGGUUUUGUAAAAAAU
rnacentral:rRNA from 1 species